UCUUCAUCUUCAUUGCUCAGAUUUUUUUUAGCAACUAAAUUGCAGGCAUUCUUGAUUUGGGGAUUAAUCACCUACAAGGUUCAUCGAUUUCAACCUUAAUCGGAGACUUCAUCGCACAAGAUCAACCAGAUUUCUGAGCGAUUUAGCCACAAGGGUAACUCAGAUUGAACGAAUUCGAACAUGAGCUGAAGGCAUUCUUCUAAUUGUGGAGAAUAUGACAAUGAAAGCAGAAUUGAAGUUAAAUGUUGAGCUGAAAGUUUUUGUUUGCAGCUGUUGAUCAUAUGGAUUGCGAGAUUGUUGAACUAGUGCAGAUUUUUUUUUAAAUCGCAUCUGACGAAGCACAAACARAGACUGCUAGAGGAAGCUGCACAKAUACCUAUURGUUGUGAAUCAAGGAUUGUAACAGCUCUUACACGCUACCAAGCAAAGAACUCCUUUCAACAUCAACCAUUUGAAUUGACCGAGAAUUUCAUUUGGUGUAAUCAUAUUAAGGGAUUUUGUUACGAUUUUGAAUUAGUUUGUAAUUGGGUCGUAUAUUCUCGAACUAUGUUCUCGGACUAUCUUUUACCUAUA